CCUACGGGCGGCUGCAGUGGGGAAUAUUGGACAAUGGGGGCAACCCUGAUCCAGCCAUGCCGCGUGUGUGAAGAAGGCCCUCGGGUUGUAAAGCACUUUCAGUGAGGAAGAACGCCUGGUGGUUAAUACCCAUCAGGAAAGACAUCACUCACAGAAGAAGCACCGGCUAACUCCGUGCCAGCAGCCGCGGUAAUACGGAGGGUGCGAGCGUUAAUCGGAAUUACUGGGCGUAAAGCGCGCGUAGGUGGCUUGAUAAGCCGGUUGUGAAAGCCCCGGGCUCAACCUGGGAACGGCAUCCGGAACUGUCAAGCUAGAGUGUAGGAGAGGAAGGUAGAAUUCCCGGUGUAGCGGUGAAAUGCGUAGAGAUCGGGAGGAAUACCAGUGGCGAAGGCGGCCUUCUGGACUGACACUGACACUGAGGUGCGAAAGCGUGGGUAGCAAACAGGAUUAGAUACCCUUGUAGUC
rnacentral:rRNA from 1 species